GAUGAACGCUAGCGGCAGGCCUAAUACAUGCAAGUCGGACGGGAUUGAGAAGCUUGCUUUUCAUGAGAGUGGCGCACGGGUGCGUAACACGUAUGUAACCUACCUUAAUCAGGGGGAUAGCCUCUCGAAAGAGAGAUUAACACCGCAUAAAAUCAAUUUAUGGCAUCAUAGAAUGAUCAAAUAUUUAUAGGAUUAAGAUGGGCAUGCGGAACAUUAGCUAGUUGGUAAGGUAACGGCUUACCAAGGCUACGAUGUUUAGGGGAUCUGAGAGGAUGACCCACAACACUGGUACUGGGACACGGACCAGACGCCUACGGGAGGCAGCAGUAAGGAAUAUUGGGCAAUGGGCGCAAGCCUGAACCAGCCAGGCCGCGUGCAGGAAGACGGCCCUACGGGUUGUAAACUGCUUUUGUACCGGAAUAAACCUUUGUAUGUAUACGAAGCUGAAUGUACGGUAAGAAUAAGGAUCGGCUAACUCCGUGCCAGCCGCCGCCGUAA
rnacentral:rRNA from 1 species